CUCUUUCUGGAGAUUUCUCUCUUGUGGUGUUUCCCUCUGAGUCUACAUCUUCAGAGAUGGAAUAAUGUUACCUUGUUCAUGAAGUUCAUUUCAUCCUGGAGAGCUCUAACAGCAGUGUACAAGAGUCACUUCAUCCCCUCAAAUUGAAGUCAAUUGAACAACUACCUUGUGGCUUUCUGAAAGACAGAAGUUGCUUGAGAGAGCCAACAGCAUGUGACUGAAAAGGAUUAAGAAUAGAAUAUGCAACUGUAGCUGCAUAUGACAAAUAAACUGCAAGUGACAGAAACUGGGACUCAGUAAGGGAAGAAGUUCAUUUAGUCAUCUGAGAGAUGGCAACGCUGCUCUUAGGAAAUUGCUAACUUUAUGAAUCUUGGAACUAGGUUUUACAUCUUAUCUGAAACAUAAUUUAUCAGCAUGAAGUUAAGGCAUUGUUUUACUAGCUGAAAUGGAAGCGAGUCAUUUUUGUAAAUCUGAUGUCAUGUCAUUCACUUAAUUUUUUUUUGCUGAAUUUCAUGUAUCAGUCCUGAUGAUAAAGCAAGGUUCAUUUGGUGGGGGGAUUCAAUAGGUCACCUAAUUCUGAACCUUAAUUCAAGGUCAGUAUUAUGAUUUGAGUGUACCCACCAUUCCAGAGAGGCAUUUGAUUAACUGUAUUUGUUAAAAUCCAUCAAGGGAUGGAGGUUCCACAGUGCUGCAUGCUAAUAAUUAGAACUGCUGAUGUCCAAACUACGUUUCCCUGUCAAACUUCCUUACAGAGUUUCCUAUUUCAGUGUGUAUGAACCCUCUGAUGCACAUCAAUGAAUGUCAUGCCUGUAGAAGUAUCCCAGGCAUAAAGUGUGUGAGCUGUGCUGUUGGUCAAAGAACGCUUUAAAAACCUGAUGUUAUGGAGAAUAUCACUUUUUAUACAGUACUGAGUCAUAUUGAGUUGCUUCUUUUUCCUACUUUGCUCCAAGCAAUAAUAAACAUACCACAAGAAAUUACAUUUGUUCUUUGAGAAAUUUAACUGAAAGUUUAGUUUGUUUCAAUAUCGAGUACUGAUAUUAGGAAAGAAGUAUUAUAGUUGCUAUCUUAAACAUAACAUCAAAUCUUGUGUUAGUGGAGAAUGAAAAUAAGUUCCACUGAUACAUGAAUUUGAAAACUUUAUCAACAGUGUACAUGAGAUCUUUCUCAUCUUGAAAAAAAAUUAGUAAUACCAAUCUGGGCUGUGGGCCAGUCAGCCUCCCUUCAGGCUCUGAUUUUUUUGGAGGUUGAUAUAGUCCUGAUGGAAGCUGUUUCUGAGCAUGGCAAGUACAAGAAGGUUAUCUGGAGGAAGUUAGCACAGUUUUCCUACGGACAAGUUGUGCCCAGCGAGCCUGAUUGCUUUCUCUGAUCCAAUGACUGAUAUUGUGGAUGAAGGAAAAGAAGUUCAUGCAGUUUGAAUGUGUAUGUCAUUGAGCAUGGCUUUCUAUAUACUGUCCAUAGCAUCCUGCUAGCCAAACUGAAGAGACUGAUGCUGGAGAUGGACUAUAAGAUAAGUGAUGGCACAAGGAAAUGUGGAUGAAAGUAUCAAGGAAGUGUUUGACCCAUGACAGAAAGAUAUAUCUUUUUAAGAAAUGAUUACUAAUACCUGUCCUUUACUUUCUGUCUACCAUGGCAGAGAGAGAUUGUGAAUAUAAAGACAGCUGAGGGCUUGACUUCAUCAGAAAAGUCAAUUGAUUAUCAUUAUAAAAGUUAUAUAGUUGUAUAUAAUAAAAUCAUCUCAUACACUGUGUGUAUAAUAUAUUUACAUUGUAUUAUGUUUCAUCUGGUAUGUUCACAAAGAACAGUUUAUUGUGUUUCUCUUUAAAACUACUUUUUGAUGAAGUAGCUGAUGAAUGUGUCAUAAAAGGUCUUAUACUGUAUCUUGAACUUUUACCGUGUGUUGAAUAGCAACAGAAACUCAGGUUUGGAAAUGCACCUUCUAUGAAAAUAAAAUCAA
ensembl:lncRNA